rnacentral:rRNA from 1 species
ACGCUGGCGGCAUGCCUAACACAUGCAAGUCGAACGAGAAAGUUCCUUCGGGAACAAUUAAAGUGGCGCACGGGUGAGUAACGCGUAGACAAUCUGCCCUUCAGUCCGGGACAACUUUUCGAAAGAAGAGCUAAUACCGGAUAACAAUGUUUAACCUAAGUUAAGUAUUUGAAAGCUUUAUGUGCUGAAGGAGGGGUCUGCGUCCCAUUAGCUAGUUGGUAAGGUAAAGGCUUACCAAGGCGACGAUGGGUAGCGGGUUUGAGAGGACGAUCCGCCACACUGGAACUGAGACACGGUCCAGACUCCUACGGGAGGCAGCAGUGGGGAAUAUUGCACAAUGGAGGCAACUCUGAUGCAGCAAUGUCGCGUGAGUGAAGAAGGCCCUUGGGUCGUAAAGCUCUUUUAUGGGGGAAGAUAAUGACGGUACCCCAGGAAUAAGCACCGGCUAACUAUGUGCCAGCAGCCGCGGUAAUACAUAGGGUGCGAGCGUUGUUCGGAAUUACUGGGCGUAAAGGGCGCGCAGGCGGAAUAGUAAGUCGGAGGUGAAAGCCCGGGGCUCAACCCCGGAGGGUCUUUCGAAACUGCUAAUCUAGAGAGGGUCAGGGGCCGGCAGAAUUCCUGGUGUAGAGGUGAAAUUCGUAGAUAUCAGGAGGAAUACCGGUGGCGAAGGCGGCCGGCUGGGGCCACUCUGACGCUGAGGCGCGAAAGCGUGGGGAGCAAACAGGAUUAGAUACCCUGGUAGUCCACGCCGUAAACGAUGAGCACUGGACGUCCGGAGGGUUCGACCCUUCUGGGUGUCUCAGCUAACGCAUUAAGUGCUCCGCCUGGGGAGUACGGUCGCAAAGAACUAAACCUCAAAAGGGAAUUGACGGUG